GGGGAAUAUUGGGCAAUGGGCGCAAGCCUGACCCAGCAACGCCGCGUGAAGGAAGAAGGCUUUCGGGUUGUAAACUUCUUUUGGCAGGGACGAAGAAAGUGACGGUACCUGCAGAAUAAGCUCCGGCUAACUACGUGCCAGCAGCCGCGGUAAUACGUAGGGGACAAGCGUUGUCCGGAUUUACUGGGCGUAAAGGGCACGCAGGCGGUUUUUUAAGUCAGAUGUGAAAGGUACCGGCUCAACCGGUAACAUGCAUUUGAAACUGAAAGACUUGAGUAUUGGAGAGGCAAGUGGAAUUCCUAGUGUAGCGGUGAAAUGCGUAGAUAUUAGGAGGAACACCGGUGGCGAAGGCGGCUUGCUGGACAAAUACUGACGCUGAGGUGCGAAAGCGUGGGGAGCAAACA
rnacentral:rRNA from 1 species